rnacentral:rRNA from 1 species
GAUGAACGCUGGCGGCGUGCCUAAUACAUGCAAGUCGAGCGAAGCGGGGACGGGUGAGUAAAACGUGGAUAACCUCCUAUAAGACUGGGGUAAAUUAGGGAAACCGGAGCUAAACCGGAUACUUCAAGCUGGAUCCGCGCUGCAUUAGCUAGUUGGCAAGGUAACGGUUUACCAAGGCAACGAUGCAUAGCCGACCUGAGAGAGUGAUCGGCCACCCUGGAACUGAGACACGGUCCAGACUCCUACGGGAGGGAGCAGUAGGGAAUCUUCCGCAAUGGGCGAAAGCCUGACGGAGCGACGCCGCGUGAGUGAUGAAGGUCUUCGGAUCGUAAAACUCUGUUAUGAGGGAAGCGGUACCUACUCAGAAAGCCACGGCUAACUACGUGCCAGCAGCCGCGGUAAUUC